CGAGGAUCGGAUUUCACAUGAUCGGACUUCUUCGGUGACUGGGAAAACCUGCAGAGUCAGCAUCUAGAAGCGGCCCUACGCAUUGUUUUCUCAUCAAGAUGUCAGCUUGACGUCAGCGUCACCUCGGAACCCCACUGGCUCCACUCGGACAGUUGGCACUCUGGCAAAGAGGAAGAGGAGAAACACUGGCCUGAGGUUUCCAACAUCACUGUCACCCAUGGUGCUGAGGAAGACCAUCACCAGCGCCACCAAUCCCAGCUGCAUAGUCCCUGUUGGUUUUCCGACUACGCGGGGUCCCCUGUGGAUUAGGUGGGGCAGUGGCUGAUGCAUUGUUGAGGCAAAAUGGUGAUGGAAGCUGUCGAACAUCUGGCGUUUCAACCCAUGAAGCUGAAGGACCCCUUUGCACGCCAUAGGGUCACUUGCAUGCACUUGAACCCCUAACCUGGAUCUGCAAUGUGGGCUUCUGGGGAUGCCGGGCCUGUUUCCACCUCCACCUCUUGCGUCUGGUUGUGUCCGUGUUGCCCUCAUGGGUGGUGCUGCCCCUCUUUUCACCGUGUUCUGCCAGCCGGUCGGGCCGGUCCGGACCUGCAGGCCGCUCGGGGGAAACAGUAGCGCCUUGCUUCCCCUAACGAGGCAUGACCUCAGUGGUGGCAGUUCGCAGCCUCGCCGUGACGGAGACCUCAAUGCGAAUAGGCCUCUCUGUCGUCCCGAUCUAAUCAAAAGGGCAGCAGAUAGUUGCUGAAGAUGGGAUGCUGCCAGAUAGAGGAAAGGGUGAACACUGGUUCCAUUCAGCCGGACGACAUUGCUGGCAAAGAGUCGUUGGGAGUGUCCAGCAGAGGGUGGCAAUGUCUCAAAUCCACAGCACUGAGAUGAGUUCCCUGCUGCAUCCCUGCCUCAAUAGAACCACUGCACUGUCUACAAAGAACCACGCCAACACGUCUUUUACAUCGUCCUUGUGCUCGGCAAGUUCAGCAUCUUUCCCUUCACUGUCAUGUUCAGUUUCAUCCACUCCAGGGCCCAUACCAACAACCAGUACAUAGCCAGACCUGCUACGACUGUGAACCCAUAUUAAAGAAACAUUACCUCAUACAGUGUAAUUACAGUAUACACAACACAUUGAUGAAAACCAGUUUUGAAAUCAGAAGCCUAUGAAAACAUGCUUUUCAACUAUUACAUUUCUUUUCAAAGGGGGAUUGGUAACAAAAAAAUGCUUGUAAAUAUCUCAAUGGUAUUACACCAGAACACAAUUAGCGAUUUUGAUUUGCUUUCACGGGCCACGUAAAAUGAUGUGGCGGGCCGGAUCUGGCCCCCGGGCCACCAGUUUGACACCUGUGUUCUCGGACAUUAAAGUCUAGUUACCCCA